CCUACGGGAGGCAGCAGUAGGGAAUCUUCCACAAUGGACGAAAGUCUGAUGGAGCAACGCCGCGUGAGCGAUGAAGGCCUUCGGGUCGUAAAGCUCUGUUGUUAGGGAAGAACAAGUACCGGAGUAACUGCCGGUACCUUGACGGUACCUAACCAGAAAGCCACGGCUAACUACGUGCCAGCAGCCGCGGUAAUACGUAGGUGGCAAGCGUUGUCCGGAAUUAUUGGGCGUAAAGCGCGCGCAGGCGGUCCUUUAAGUCUGAUGUGAAAGCCCACGGCUCAACCGUGGAGGGUCAUUGGAAACUGGGGGACUUGAGUGCAGAAGAGGAAAGUGGAAUUCCAAGUGUAGCGGUGAAAUGCGUAGAGAUGUGGAGGAACACCAGUGGCGAAGGCGGCUCUCUGGUCUGUAACUGACGCUGAGGCGCGAAAGCGUGGGGAGCGAACAGGAUUAGAUACCCUGGUAGUCCACGCCGUAAACGAUGAGUGCUAAGUGUUAGAGGGUUUCCGCCCUUUAGUGCUGCAGCAAACGCAUUAAGCACUCCGCCUGGGGAGUACGGCCGCAAGGCUGAAACUCAAAGGAAUUGACGG
rnacentral:rRNA from 1 species